rnacentral:rRNA from 1 species
CCGGAGGAAGGUGAGGAUGAUGUCAAGUCAGCAUGACCUUUAUAUCCAGGGCUACACACACGCUACAAUGGUCUGUACAAUGGGUAGCCAAGCCGCGAGGCGGAGCCAAUCCUGAAAGCAGGCCUCAGUUCAGAUUGCAGUCUGCAACUCGACUGCAUGAAGCCGGAGUUGCUAGUAACCGCAGGUCAGCAAUACUGCGGUGAAUACGUUCCCGGGUCUU